UACAGAGGUGGCAAGCGUUGUUCGGAAUUACUGGGCGUAAAGGGCGCGUAGGCGGCCUUCUAAGUCAGACGUGAAAUCCCCCGGCUUAACCUGGGAACUGCGUCUGAUACUGGGGGGCUUGAGUAUGGGAGAGGGAUGUAGAAUUCCAGGUGUAGCGGUGAAAUGCGUAGAUAUCUGGAGGAAUACCGGUGGCGAAGGCGGCAUCCUGGACCAUUACUGACGCUGAGGCGCGAAAGCUAGGGGAGCAAACGGGG
rnacentral:rRNA from 1 species